rnacentral:rRNA from 1 species
GACGAACGCUGGCGGCGUGCCUAAUACAUGCCAGUAGAACGCUGAAGAGAGGAGCUUGCUCUUCUUGGAUGAGUUGCGAACGGGUGAGUAACGCGUAGGUAACCUGCCUUGUAGCGGGGGAUAACUAUUGGAAACGAUAGCUAAUACCGCAUAACAAUGGAUGACACAUGUCAUUUAUUUGAAAGGGGCAAUUUCUCCACUACAAGAUGGACCUGCGUUGUAUUAGCUAGUAGGUGAGGUAAUGGCUCACCUAGGCGACGAUACAUAGCCGACCUGAGAGGGUGAUCGGCCACACUGGGACUGAGACACGGCCCAGACUCCUACGGGAGGCAGCAGUAGGGAAUCUUCGGCAAUGGGGGCAACCCUGACCGAGCAACGCCGCGUGAGUGAAGAAGGUUUUCGGAUCGGAAAGCUCUGUUGUAAGUCAAGAACGGGUGUGAGAGUGGAAAGUUCACACUGUGACGGUAGCUUACCAGAAAGGGACGGCUAACUACGUG